CCUACGGGAGGCAGCAGUGGGGAAUUUUGGACAAUGGGGGCAACCCUGAUCCAGCAAUGCCGCGUGAGUGAAGAAGGCCUUCGGGUUGUAAAGCUCUUUUGUCAGGGAAGAAACGGUGUGAGCUAAUAUCUCAUGCUAAUGACGGUACCUGAAGAAUAAGCACCGGCUAACUACGUGCCAGCAGCCGCGGUAAUACGUAGGGUGCAAGCGUUAAUCGGAAUUACUGGGCGUAAAGCGUGCGCAGGCGGUUUUGUAAGACUGUCGUGAAAUCCCCGGGCUCAACCUGGGAAUGGCGAUGGUGACUGCAAGGCUAGAGUUUGGCAGAGGGGGGUAGAAUUCCACGUGUAGCAGUGAAAUGCGUAGAUAUGUGGAGGAACACCGAUGGCGAAGGCAGCCCCCUGGGUCAAAACUGACGCUCAUGCACGAAAGCGUGGGGAGCAAACAGGAUUAGAUACCCUGGUAGUCCACGCCCUAAACGAUGUCUAGUAGUUGUCGGGUUAAAUU
rnacentral:rRNA from 1 species